UACGGAGGGUGCGAGCGUUAAUCGGAAUUACUGGGCGUAAAGCGCGCGUAGGCGGCUUUGCAAGUCGGAUGUGAAAUCCCCAGGCUCAACCUGGGAACUGCAUUCGAGACUGCAUUGCUAGAGUAUGGGAGAGGGAAGUGGAAUUUCCGGUGCAGCGGUGAAAUGCGUAGAUAUCGGAAGGAACAUCAGUGGCGAAAGCGACGUCCUGGACCAAUACUGACGCUCAUGUGCGAAAGCGUGGGGAGCAAACAGG
rnacentral:rRNA from 1 species